CCUGCGGGUGGCUUUUGAAUCGCACCUGUUCAGCAAGUAAACGUUGAUCGGGAGGGUUUUUUUUUUUCAGCACGUAAACGUUGACGAGGAGUAGGAGAGUCGGAGCUGCCUGGGAGUAGGAGAGCGGUACCGAGGCGGAGGCGGAGGCCGAUGCCUGCUUGCUUGGCACAGACGGCCUCUGUGCGUGCUUCGGCCGUGUACACGCCACCACGAGCGGCAGCCAGGCAGAGAACCACGCUGGUUCACGAACGUACAAAUGUCCUCAUCCAUACUAUACCUAGCUCGGCUCCUAAGUGGUGUGUUGGAAGCCAAAGGGUCAAAGAGACGAGACCAAACGGCUACCUACCUCUGCUCGAAGAAAGAAGACCGGCCAUCUAGACCAAUACUAGGUGUUUAAGCCAAAAGCUAGACGAUGGCAUGCAUAUUAUUAUAUACAGAAGGGAGGUAGAGCACGUACCUUCAUACAAACACAACCUCUGCCGGCCACUACCUGUGCCUAGAGUAGUGUGCUAAGUGUCAGAUCCGAAAGCUCUACGUUCGCUAAAAAAAAGGCUGUUUCCCAAUCAGCUUAUGCUGCUAGGGGAUUCAAAGGCUAGGAAAAGUGAGCUUUGAGAGAGCGGCCGGCCGUAGUUGUCCGCGUUAUGUUCCAGCUAGAUGGUCAACCUCUUACCACAACGGGACGGGGGCGGCCAAUGGCCCGUCUCGAAAGCCGGCAGCCGGUUACAAAGACGGGUUGUCAACCACAGGUUGUGGCCGCCUCUCUUUUGCUGGAACCUGUUCUUGAUUUCGAUAGUUCUAGGAUUACCACACCGCUGCGCACUGCGGGACGGCCAAUGCCAUGUACUCGAAAGAAAUGUAGCGUGGUCGGUUGCAUCGUGAACCACAGCUGGUGGUCGCCUCCUUUUUGCGUUGAGUUCGGUAGCUGCAAAAGAAAUCAAGGUAGUGGUGUGUUGGUGGUACCUCCCCGUCGUCGUCCCCGUUGUCGUCCCGGUCGUCGUCCCGGUUGUCCUUCCGGUCGUCGACCUCCCCGUUGUCCUCCCGGUCGUCGUCCUCACCGCGGUUGUUACCCUUCUCACCACCAACGACACCGUCCCCGUAACCGUUCACGUCACCGACCUCACCGUCUCAGUUACCGUUCUCACCACCGUCGUCAACGUCGACGGCGACGUCGUCGUCACCCUCUUGACCGACAACGUGACCGUAGUUGUGAAACUCGUCACCGUCUUGGACACCAUGCUCGUUACCGUCGUUACCCUCGUCGCCACGGUCCGCGUUGUUGUAGUUGUUACCACCCUCACCGGCGUCCUGGUCACCGUUAAAGUCGUCACCGUUGUUGUUAACGUCGUGCUUACCGUUGUCACCGUCGUCGUACCCCUUACCGUCACCGCCGACACCGAUGUUGUCCAAGUCACCGUCGUCGUCCUCCACGUCCCCGUCCCCGUCGUCGUUGUCCACGUCCCCGUCGUCGUUGUCCCCGUCCCCGUCCUCGGCACCCUCGAUGCAGACGUCAAAGUUGUUACCGUCGGAGUAACCGCCGUCGUCACCGUGUACACCGUAGUUCUGACCGUCGUCGUCACCGCAGUUACCGUUGUCCCGGUUGUCGUUACCGCCCUCGUCGCUGUUACCGUCACCGCCGUCACCGUCUUCCUACUCGCCACCGUCCUCGUCCUCGCCACCGACGCGGUGGCCGAUUGGUAGUUAUACGUAAACUAUGGACACAGGAUACGAAACUCAAAGUUCGGUGAGUGGUGAAGAGAACAUAAGCUUCUGUUUCUCCCGCGAUUUUAGGGAUACGAGCUCUUAUGUUGGAAGCCGUUAAAUCAACGGCUGCCGAAACAAUUACUCUAUUAACGCCGUGUAGCAGCCUUGGACUCGACCCGACCACUAAAGACGCUCCUACUAAAUAAACAUAGACUCCCGCUCGUAAAACAAUGGUAACGAUUUCUUGGUUGCUUCAGUCGUUGUCUACUAUUGGUCAAAGACCUAAAUUAAGUCUAUUGUUUAACCAAACGACUAUUCAUAUGACUCUUAGUUUACCACGGCAGAAUAAAACUUCUCAAACAACUGUCUCAUAUAUUUUAUGGUUCAACCGUUUUAGUUACACUAACUAGUCGUUCGAAUACCCACGAAUCAUUGGUGGGAAAGAAAUACCCUCUUCUUUUUACCUCCAAUAAACAUCUCCUUAUGAUAUUUACCAUGUGAGUUCAAUUACACCAUAGCGCCCUACUCUAAGAAUUCUUUCGAUUAACACUAUAUACAGACUUAACCGUAAACCGAUGUCACGCGCUAUUGUCAGAAGACGUUUACCACAUGACCUUACCUUCUCUCUUGAACACAGGUAGUAGAAUGAAAUGAUUUCCGACGUUUCAAGGAGCCGCCUGCCGAUCGCUACGACUUUAUAAGGCCAAGUGGGUUCUUCUACCCAUAAAUCGUCAAAAGGUCGCCUGCAAAAUACAAGUGCCCGAUGUAUAAGAACCCCGAGCAACCAGUAACUCUCUUGACCGUGAAAUAUAACGCAUAUAAAAGUUUGUAAAAGACGGUGCAAAAUAACUUUCCUAAAUGCGGUUGAGAGUACUUGUAGUAGAGAAACGACUCUAGGAACUAUGUAUACAUUUCGCCUCCAGACGAAGGGCCUCCGUAUAAGCUCCUUUUGACAUGCUUCACCGUCGGAUUAAACUCGAUUACUAUAGGUUCGUGGUUUUCUGAUCAUACCAUCGUCGCUACUACGAUUCCUACUUACCUCUGAAUGACGACAAAUGACUUUUUCCGAAAGUGGGGCGAAAUAUAUAUUUCGUUGCUAGUAGCUGAACGACGACAAACUUGUUACGAAGGUCAGAGUCAACCUGCGAGUAACGACAAACGGUAGGCAGUCGACGGCCAUAGUCCACCUGACUUCAAGCUGCCAUUUACUGUCAAGUUUCUACUACCGACCUGAAGGAAAAGCGUUAUCUCCUAGCACUAUACCACCAACUCGGAUACAGUCGGUGACCAAGGUGAGUCGGCUCUUCCGGUCCGUAUUCCAGAAGUGGAAGUCGUAGGUCAUUCUCACAAUGCCGAACGUUAAAUCCAAGAUCAAGGUCUAGUCGACGGGACGGUGGUGAUCGUGGUGUUCGUCUGUCCCGACGUUUGGGAAUUGCCAAGCUACGUGCCUGAUAUGUAAAGAGGCAUUUACGGACACAUGACCAACAACGACCUGAGACCCCUGCGAAGGUUAGAACAGUUUUGUAGAACGUCUGUCUCGAACGUUCGAAAACAACGACCCUUGUCAGGAGAGCAGUCCUAUAUAAGAAGUAUGUCAUGAAUGAUACCCCACGGUCGCGUUGUAGUAAGGCUGUAAGUCUGUAAUGCCGAAGGAGGGUGUGUAGUUUGUGACAGAGACGGUUACAUUGGUACGCACGCAGGGAACGAAGGACCUCAUAAUGACGACAGAUGCCCGGAGUCAGGCUACGCCUAUUUAAACGGAGGUAGGUUCUCUAGUUUGUUGAUUUCCGGAGGUACGACGGAAGAAACCGACGACGACCCCCUGAAGUUAGAGUACAUUUCGACUCCUGAUUUCGUUACGAUCAUAGUUGUCCUCGACGAAUUGUUAAAGACCCGUCAAGAGUCGCGUUAACUCCAGAGACUUGAGGUGUGCCAGCUGCCAAAUGAACCCAGUCGUGGACAGUCAGCGUUUGUUCCUGCUUCUAACUAGUGCAAAAGACGGGGCGACUGACCUUAGAAUACAAGGGUGUUACAGUGAACUCUCCGUAGAGGAGGAGACCGAGGCUAGUGAGACGGUACCACGAGAGACCGGGUAACGACGUACCACUACGGUACACCUACGAGGUGGUCUUUGAACAAGCAGACCCGUUUCGAAACACCCAUACCUCGUCUUGUUUCCACCCGUUGUAACGAGACAAGUGACGCCACAGGCUCGUCGAAUAGGACCCGGACCUGAUACGGGUUCUAGUGACACUGGAGUGAUAACGUCUUAAUUCAGACUCCUAGAAGGAAGUCUUGUUCAACAACCUGGAACGACGUUAAGUGUCCCAGUCCUAGUCCGUCACAAGAGCCGACGAUACCCACGCGGGACCUCUCCAGUUGCGUUUUGAAAAGGUGUAGUUCCGGUUACCAGCGGCUACUGCAUUAAAGUAUUAGCGGGUUCCAGUAAAGUGAAACGUCUUUCUGUUCGUUCGACUCGAAGAAGCUGUUGACGUUCUCUAUACCUACAGUGUUCCGUUUAAGAUACACGAAAACCACUACGAUCACCAGAAGCCCAGUUAGUCCGGUUCUCACCUUAGGAUAGUAUAGGAGAUAGAACAGUAGGGGUGAUAAAUAAAUAGAAUCGUAAGUAUUACUGUACGGUAGUAAAAUAAGGAAAUUAAAAAUUCGCUAAGAAAACAACAGGCUAAGUUAUCGUUCAAUAUUGUGUUCGGAGGUCGGAAAAGGGGAAGGCACGGAAAAGGAUAGGGGGUGUUUUAUUAGUGUAGCGUGGGUGUAGUGAUAGGAAAGUCAACGGUUAGUUAGAGGGAAUUUGAGAGUGUAACCGAUGGGUAGAGUUGGUAUCAGCCGAACGAAGGUAGUGACCUGGACGGACUACAGCGUAGGUUACGAAGGCUCUAGGUCGGGUGCCACCUCUACACCUAAAUCAACCGCCGUUCCAAGGUACCCACCCUUAGCGAUUCCAUGCGACUUAGUGACCCGUAACGUCGGCGGCAACUGACGGAGGUGGCCAACGUAGUGUCACGCGUAGCAGCUGCAGCAGUUGGUUAGACGUUGGGAGUUGCCGUGGUGACAUUGUGUAACAACGGCCGCACUCCUUCACACGUUCGUGGUAACGUCUGGUUACCCACGGCAGAUAACUGCUGGCAUCGUAGGUGCGACCACGUCUAACUAUCGACUUCGCCUUUGUUUCCAGACUUACGGAAGCACCAUGACGGACCGUCUGCAAUGGAGUUUGCGAAGAUAUACCUUAAUCACCCGCUGCUUCACCUCUUUCCGCUUGUAGUUACUCGACGUGGAAAAGGACAAGAGAGGGGGCAUAAGAAGGGGAGGUAGACAGAGAAAGAUCCUCCCACCUCCUACCUAACAGCAACACAAUACGAGGUCGUUAUCAACUGUAACUAAUCCACACAAAUCUUGAAGUCUAUGCGAUUUAACAAACUAAUGGUACAAGUAGUACAGCGAACCUAGAAGGAAACCGGAGUUUUCAGGAGGGUGAUACAACACGAUUUAUGGUCGG
rnacentral:rRNA from 1 species